rnacentral:rRNA from 1 species
AACGAACGCUGGCGGCAUGCCUAACACAUGCAAGUCGAACGAGACCUUCGGGUCUAGUGGCGCACGGGUGCGUAACGCGUGGGAACCUGCCCUUAGGUUCGGAAUAACUCCCCGAAAGGGGUGCUAAUACCGGAUAAUGUCUUCGGACCAAAGAUUUAUCGCCUUUGGAUGGGCCCGCGUUGGAUUAGCUAGUUGGUAGGGUAAAAGCCUACCAAGGCGACGAUCCAUAGCUGGUCUGAGAGGAUGAUCAGCCACACUGGGACUGAGACACGGCCCAAACACCCAGGGAAGGGAGAAGGGGGGAAAAAGGAAAGAAGGGGGAAGGAAGAACCCAGGAAGGCCGGGGAAGGGAUGAAGGAGGGAGGGUUGAAAAGGUCUUUAACCAGGGAUGAAAAGAAAGGAACGGGGAAAAAAAGCUCGGGGAAACCCGGG